CCAAUAGCGUAUAUUAAAGUUGUUGCAGUUAAAAAGCUCGUAGUUGAAUUUCGGGAUCAGUAUGUUGGUCGUGCUUCGGUACGUACUGUCAUUACUGGUUUCUACCUUCUGAAGAACCUUGAUGUCAUUAAUUUGGUGUCUUGGGAAAUCAGGACUGUUACUUUGAAAAAAUUAGAGUGUUUAAAGCAAGCAUACGCUUGAAUACAUUAGCAUGGAAUAAUGAAAUAGGACGUUUGAUUCUAUUUUGUUGGUUUCUAGGAUCGACGUAAUGAUUAAUAGGGAUAGUUGGGGGCAGUAGUAUUCAAUUGUCAGAGGUGAAAUUCUUGGAUUUAUUGAAGACUAACUACUGCGAAAGCAUUUGCCAAGGAUGUUUUCAUUAAUCAAGAACGAAAGUUAGGGGAGCGAAGACGAUCAGAGACCGUCGUAGUCUUAACCAUAAACUAUGCCGACUAGGGAUCGGAUGAUGUUAGUUUUAAUGACUCAUUUGGCGCCUUACG
rnacentral:misc_RNA from 1 species